AACAGGUAUAAUUUUCAAGUAUUUUCCUUGAUGGAGAUGAGACCUGAAGUUAUGACCAAAGCACCGAUGCAACAAGCUCCAACACAGAUAAGAAUUUGUUUACAUAGGAUAACUUUAAGUGAUCUACAUAUAUUCAAGAAAAAAACAAAAUAGGACUACUGAGGGUUAAUUCACAAGAAAGAUUUGCAAAAAUGAAGCCAGGAGAAAAAUGUUAGUCUAGGUCUGGGGCUCUUAAUAAAUACUUGCUACUUGAUUGACAAUGUAGAGCAAAGCUGCUGAAUACCCUGGAACUGAAAAUGAAACUGCAACCAAAAGAAGAAUCUCAACACACUGAAAACUAGAGAACUGGCUUUCUAAUGCAGAGAUCCUCAGCCUUUUUCACAUAAAAAUUAAAGAAAAAUUUAAUAUUUGUGUGAUAUGGGAGGAAAGGAUAAGGCAACCAAGGGUGAGUAACUCGGCUCUCUAGCCACCAUGGAUGCUGAGAGAAUGUUAUCAUAGCAUUCUGAAAACCCAUGGACCUCAGUAGUUCAGCUGACAAGCUCUGAUCUAAAUGACUUAUGCUAUGUAUCAAUGGCCAAAAAACCCCAAAAAUGUCUGUGUGGAAUAUUAAAAGGACCAUUGGCUAACACAAAGCAUUAAAGUACAGGCAUGCCUUGGAGAUAUUAUGGUUCCAGAAUAUGAUAAAGCAAAUACUGCAAAAAAAAAAAAAAAUGAGUCACAUGAAUUUUUUGGUUUCCCACUGCAUAUAAAAGUUAUUUUUACACUAUUCUGUAGUCUGUAGUCUAUUAAGUCUGCAAUAGCAUUAUAUCUAAAAAAAGCAAUGUACAUACCCUAAUUUAAAAAUGCUUUAUUGCUAAAAAAAAUGCUAACAAUCAUCUGAGCCUUAAGCAAAUUGUAAUCUUUAUACUGGUGAAAGGUCUUUUCUCAAUGUUGAUGGCUCUGACUAAUCAGG